rnacentral:rRNA from 1 species
UGGGGAAUAUUGGACAAUGGGCGCAAGCCUGAUCCAGCCAUGCCGCGUGAGUGAUGAAGGCCCUAGGGUUGUAAAGCUCUUUCACCGGUGAAGAUAAUGACGGUAACCGGAGAAGAAGCCCCGGCUAACUUCGUGCCAGCAGCCGCGGUAAUACGAAGGGGGCUAGCGUUGUUCGGAUUUACUGGGCGUAAAGCGCACGUAGGCGGACUUUUAAGUCAGGGGUGAAAUCCCGGGGCUCAACCCCGGAACUGCCUUUGAUACUGGAAGGCUUGAGUAUGGGAGAGGUGAGUGGAAUUCCGAGUGUAGAGGUGAAAUUCGUAGAUAUUCGGAGGAACACCAGUGGCGAAGGCGGCUCACUGGACCAUUACUGACGCUGAGGUGCGAAAGCGUGGGGAGCAAACAGG